rnacentral:lncRNA from 1 species
CUGAAGAGCAAAUAUCAAGGAAACAGAUGUUGUUUGAUAGAUCUAAAUAAGUUGAAACAGUCUGAAUAAAAGCCUACUUCCGUUUGUGAGAUGUCCAGGGUGUAUUUGUUUUAUUCUAAUUGCCUCCUCUUCUAUACUGUCCUUCCCUUCUUUAUGGCAGUGAAUGAAAACGAAGGCUUCUUUCUGUCACUGAAUAGCUGACAUAUUAAAAAUGGAGUUUGGUCAAGCCUAAAAACAACAUUAAAAUGAAGAAAGCUUGAGUGACUAAAGAUAUGGAGGCUAAAAGUUAUGUUAAUCAGCUUCAGAAUAUAUUAUUUCAACAUAAAAAUGACUUUGAAGGAAACUGACUCCAAUGAUUUGAUUUCAACUUGUCAGUCAUCCACACAUUUGUUUAAAGUACUGCAAACAAGUAAUUCAUUACUUGUAACAGAAUAUUAUGGUCCUUA